UACGGAGGAUGCAAGCGUUAUCCGGAAUGAUUGGGCGUAAAGCGUACGCAGGUGGCAAUGUAAGUCUGCUGUCAAAGCGUCUGGCUCAACCAGAUAAAGGCAGUGGAAACUACAUAGCUAGAGUAAGGUAGGGGUAGAGGGAAUUCCUGGUGUAGCGGUGAAAUGCGUAGAGAUCAGGAAGAACACCGGUGGCGAAAGCGCUCUGCUGGACCUUAACUGACACUGAGGGACGAAAGCUAGGGGAGCGAAUGGG
rnacentral:rRNA from 1 species